ensembl:lncRNA
GGGUAAUACAUUUCUGCUGUAAUUCAUUUAAAAAAUAAUUUUAUCACCAUUUAUCACCUCUAACACAAACAGUAGUGUCAGUAUACAGCAGAAUAGAGAUAGUAGGUGUAAUUAGUUACAGUAGGAAUCAGCUUUGUUUCAGUCUCUUGGAAAGCGUAGAGUUUCUACUCCUGCUGAGCAGGUAUCAGGUGGCCUCAUGAAUAAUGAAGUCGAUUGACCGGAGAGUGAGUAGCUGCACGCUGACCUGCAUGCAGAUGAGGGGUAAUACCUGAACUCAGGGGCUCAGCAUCCAGCAGCACUCUCAGGCUGUUUUGAAGUUCAGUCCUAAACACAGCUCUGUACAGAGAGCAGCAGGCAGGAGAAUGACUCUGAGAGCCACGUCUCAUGGGGACCUUCAGGCCCUGUCCCUGUCCAAGCCUCCAUCUCUGGACAACGGCAUGUACAAGUCCUACUCGGUCAGCAGUAACAACAUGGGCAGCCGGUUUGGGAAGGACGGCCAGGAGGAUUCCAAGGAUCCGUUCAAGCGCUCGCAUCCACCUCGCAGGCCUGUGCGCGCGGUCAGACCGGUCAGCGCCCUCAGCAGCAGUGGGACAUUCCUACAGAUCAACCACCUGCAAGGAGAGCUGGUGCGCAAAAGGAAGGAAUGUGAGGAUCUGAAGAAGGAAAACAAGUAUUUAUCCAACGAGAUUCACAUGGAGAGAAUCAUGAUGAGAACAGAGAGUGAGCUCACCAUGAGGAACCUCAGGAACCUCAACCAAGAACUCCAGGCUCAAGUGAAAGAGCUGAAACAGAAGCUGCAUCUGAGCCAGCAGAGGGCAUCUCUGUGCUCCAGGGCAGCAGAGGAGGCAGAUAUGUUACGAGGGGAGGCUGAGAAGAGCCGGACCCUGGCAGAGGCUCGAGGUGUGGAGAGCAGGCAGGAGAGAGAUCUGGUACUGGCUGAGAAAGUAAGACUCAACGAGGACCUGCAGCAUCUCAGUAAAGAGCACACGAAUGCACAGCUGCUUCUGGCCCAGACAGAGAAGAGCUACUUUGAGACGAAGCUAAAGCUAGAGAGAGUGUCUGGAGAGAAACAGUUUCUGCUGGAGGAGAACAAGAGUCUGGAGAGUGAGAGAAGCACACUGCGGCACAGACUGAAGGAGCUGACGGAGGAGAAUGUAAAACUUAAAGAAAAGGAGGCAAGCUCCAGGCGCAGGGCUGCAGCAGCUGAGGAACAGAGUGAGAGAGCAGGGAAAGCGCAGCAGCAGGCUGAUCAGGAGCGCAGGCUGGCGGACAGAGAGAAGGAGGAGCGCAUCAGUGAGUGUCUGAACUGGAGGGAAAAACAUCAAGCACUGUCCGACAUCUUCAGAGCUCAGGAGGACCUGAAGUCUCAGAGGCAGAACAAAGCAUGUCAAGCAAACAUAAAGAGCUACUUCCUGUGUAUGACUGAAAGUGACCAGAGGGUUAAGAUCCUGAAGAAUCAGGACGGAAGUCCACGGAACUUCACAGAGGGAGAUCCAGUGUUCAUCUCAGCAGCUGAAGCAAACGGAGAAGAUUCAGAUAGAGGCUCAGGAAGAACCAUGCUGAGGGUGGCAGCCCCCAAAGCAGGACGAGAUAAUGGACCAGCUCACUUCAGUGAACUGUCACCGAUGGGAGGAGAUGCUCCUGACACCAGUUCUUUGAGGAAAAGUCGUAGAGUAGUGGAAUACUUCUGGAUCCCCACAGAUGAAGAAUAG